GAUGAACGCUGGCGGCGUGCCUAAUACAUGCAAGUCGAGCGAACAGACGAGGAGCUUGCUCCUCUGACGUUAGCGGCGGACGGGUGAGUAACACGUGGAUAACCUACCUAUAAGACUGGGAUAACUUCGGGAAACCGGAGCUAAUACCGGAUAAUAUAUUGAACCGCAUGGUUCAAUAGUGAAAGACGGUUUUGCUGUCACUUAUAGAUGGAUCCGCGCCGCAUUAGCUAGUUGGUAAGGUAACGGCUUACCAAGGCAACGAUGCGUAGCCGACCUGAGAGGGUGAUCGGCCACACUGGAACUGAGACACGGUCCAGACUCCUACGGGAGGCAGCAGUAGGGAAUCGUCCGCAAUGGGCGAAAGCCUGACGGAGCAACGCCGCGUGAGUGAUGAAGGUCUUCGGAGCGUAAAACUCUGUUAUUAGGGAAGAACAAAUGUGUAAGUAACUAUGCACGGCUUGACGGUACCUAAUCAGAAAGCCACGGCUAACUACGUG
rnacentral:rRNA from 1 species